GUAACCUGCCCAGAAGCGGGGGACAACAUUUGGAAACAGAUGCUAAUACCGCAUAACAACGUUGUUCGCAUGAACAACGCUUAAAAGAUGGCUUCUCGCUAUCACUUCUGGAUGGACCUGCGGUGCAUUAGCUUGUUGGUGGGGUAAUGGCCUACCAAGGCGAUGAUGCAUAGCCGAGUUGAGAGACUGAUCGGCCACAAUGGGACUGAGACACGGCCCAUACUCCUACGGGAGGCAGCAGUAGGGAAUCUUCCACAAUGGGCGCAAGCCUGAUGGAGCAACACCGCGUGAGUGAAGAAGGGUUUCGGCUCGUAAAGCUCUGUUGUUAAAGAAGAACACGUAUGAGAGUAACUGUUCAUACGUUGACGGUAUUUAACCAGAAAGUCACGGCUAACUACGUGCCAGCAGCCGCGGUAAUACGUAGGUGGCAAGCGUUAUCCGGAUUUAUUGGGCGUAAAGAGAGUGCAGGCGGUUUUCUAAGUCUGAUGUGAAAGCCUUCGGCUUAACCGGAGAAGUGCAUCGGAAACUGGAUAACUUGAGUGCAGAAGAGGGUAGUGGAACUCCAUGUGUAGCGGUGGAAUGCGUAGAUAUAUGGAAGAACACCAGUGGCGAAGGCGGCUACCUGGUCUGCAACUGACGCUGAGACUCGAAAGCAUGGGUAGCGAACAGGAUUAGAUACCCUGGUAGUCCAUGCCGUAAACGAUGAGUGCUAGGUGUUGGAGGGUUUCCGCCCUUCAGUGCCGGAGCUAACGCAUUAAGCACUCCGCCUGGGGAGUACGACCGCAAGGU
rnacentral:rRNA from 1 species